CAGGAGGUCCCCGAGCCUGACGCAGCAGGAUGGAAUUACCCACGUGGAGGGCUAGAGGCCAAGAUGCUAUAAGAUAUCUCGGAGAGGUGAAGCCACACACUGAGGAGGAGGCUGAAAAGGGGCCGUGAGGACAGCCUCCGGAGCAUUUGAGGUGAGCCAGGCCGGUUGCGAGGAGGGUGUCGGGGCUGGUGCUUUUGAAGAAGCGCCACAGUUAUUUUCUUUGAGUCUCAGACGCCUAAGGUAUGACAGCAGCAGCGUUGGACUCUGGAACAAACAGAUGCCCAAGAGGAGCGUGGCACCCGCAGGCAGACCCUGGUUUUAGCGAAGAUCGGCUU